rnacentral:rRNA from 1 species
GACGAACGCUGGCGGCGUGCUUAACACAUGCAAGUCGAACGGAAAGGCCCUGCUUUUGUGGGGUGCUCGAGUGGCGAACGGGUGAGUAACACGUGAGUAACCUGCCCUUGACUUUGGGAUAACUUCAGGAAACUGGGGCUAAUACCGGAUAGGAGCUCCUGCUGCAUGGUGGGGGUUGGAAAGUUUCGGCGGUUGGGGAUGGACUCGCGGCUUAUCAGCUUGUUGGUGGGGUAGUGGCUUACCAAGGCUUUGACGGGUAGCCGGCCUGAGAGGGUGACCGGCCACAUUGGGACUGCGAUACGGCCCAGACUCCUACGGUAGGCAGCAGUGGGGAAUAUUGCACAAUGGGCGGAAGCCUGAUGCAGCAACGCCGCGUGCGGGAUGACGGCCUUCGGGUUGUAAACCGCUUUCGCCUGUGGCGAAGCGUGAGUGACGGUAAUGGGUAAAGAAGCACCGGCUAACUACGUG